rnacentral:rRNA from 1 species
AUAAAGAAUUGACGGGGCCCGCACAAGCGGAGGAGCAUGUGGUUUAAUUCGAUGAUACGCGAGGAACCUUACCGUGGGCUACGAACGUAAGAUGACUGUAGGUGAAAGCUUACAUCUCUUCGGAGCAUUUUUACGAGGUGCUGCAUGGUUGUCGUCAGCUCGUGUCGUGAGAUGUUGGGUUAACGUCCCGUAACGAGCGCAACCCUUGUCCUUAGUUACCAGCACGUUAUGGUGGGCACUCUAAGGAGACUGCCGGUGACAAACCGGAGGAAGGUGGGGAUGACGUCAAGUCAUCAUGGCCCUUACGGCCUGGGCUACACACGUGCUACAAUGGUCGGUACAAAGGGUUGCCAAGCCGCGAGGUGGAGCUAAUCCCAUAAAACCGAUCGUAGUCCGGAUCGCAGUCUGCAACUCGACUGCGUGAAGUCGGAAUCGCUAGUAAUCGUGAAUCAGAAUGUCACGGUGAAUACGUUCCCGGGCCUU